UACGUAGGGGGCUAGCGUUGUCCGGAAUCAUUGGGCGUAAAGAGCGUGUAGGCGGCCCGGUAAGUCCGCUGUAAAAGUCAAAGGCUCAACCUUUGAAUGUCAGUGGAUACUGCCGGGCUAGAGUCCGGAAGAGGCGAGUGGGAACUCCUGGUGUAGCGGUGGAAUGCGCAGAUAUCAGGAGGAACACCGGUGGCGAAGGCGGGACUCUGGGCCGAUACUGACGGCUGAGGCG
rnacentral:rRNA from 1 species